UUUUUAUUAGUACUCUAAUUUUAAUAUUUUAAAAUUAAUGCUUUUGAUGGAUACUUCAUGGAAAACGCUAAUCCUCCUAAAAGUCAUGCCACUGAUUCUGUUCAAAAAGUUGAUUUACUGUUGACAACAAUGUUGACAUCUAUGGCAACAGCACAGAGUCUAACUUUACUGCAGGAUUUGUUUUCCAAGAACUCUGGAACAACUGCUGAGGUUAUAGGCAUUUACCUCUCACUUUUAAAACACUGGCUAUUAAAUUUUGCUUACACACACAUUUGGGAGGAUGCUGUUCUUUGUACAUCUUUUGUCCCAUUUCUAGACAAGCUGCCAGAGUGAGAACAAGCCCUUGGGCUCUGCUCCAAGCUAUGCUGCUGUUCCAACGAAAACUGCAGGUAGGACAGAAUAGCACAGCAGCAGGAGUAUACAGAAAGACAAGUGGGGUCUAUCUAUUCGGAAAGGUGGGACUUGCUCGGCCUAUCGUUUAUUAAAACAACAUCCCAAAGGGGCCUGUCAUGACCAAAUAAAGAGAGAAAUAGUAAAUCGACUAAUAAAGAGUUACAAUGUUAGAAGGGCAGCAGCAAAAAUUAAUCAUGGAAAGAACCAAUAUGGUUCCUGUGUCAGACAAAGAUCUAGGAGACUCAGAUUCAAAUCUACACUGUGCCACAGGAGUUUGUUGGGUGACCUUGGGGCAGCCACACUCUCUUAGCCUAACCUGCUUCUCAGGAUUGUUGAUAAAAUGGAGAAGAGAGUGGUGUAAGCCACUCUGAGCCUUUAUUCGGGAGAAAGGUCCCGUAUAAAUGAAGUAACUGAAUAAGCAAACAGUUCUUAAAGAUAACAGCCAAAACAAAACCCACAAUCAGUAAAAAGCCAUUAAAAAUAGCUAUGUCAGCACCAAAACACACAUAAACACCCAAAAUGUAACAGAGGACAAAGCCAUCAAACGUUCUCCAGAAUAAGACCAGACGGGCCAAGGGGAGCUUCCUGGUUUCAACAGCCUGGGAACCACCACUGAAAAGAAGUCCGACCUCACACACAGCCACCAAGCUGUGUAGACAAUGACCUGGAAGUGGAGCACGAGUCCCCUUAGAGCAGGGAGUCUUGUGGAGCUGGGUAAAUAUUGUGAGUCAUUUUCAUGUGAUGUCUGAAAUGAAGCUAGGUGGUGAGAGAAGAGACCAGGGAAAAACAUUUUCUACAAAGCUUUGCCGAUUCUCCACAGCCUUGUUUCCCCAUAUUCACCAACCUCUACUCUUCUCCAUGGAGAGCACAGCAGGGAGGAAAACAGAAAGACUUCAUGAAAUGCCUGAAAGUGGAGGCCCAGAUCUUGCUAGGCUCUGUUGUCAUGUAUAUCACAAUCAAGGAAGAUAUUUAAAAAAUGGAGUCUAGUUUCUCCUGUCUGGUGUCAGGUUAAUGUCUUUAACUAAACUAAGGGACUAAUAAAAUACUAGUUAAUGUAUUUCACAUAUGCCUAUAAAUGUGCUUAGUUUACUCCAAAUAAAGUUUACAGUUUAAGCUGUUCUGUUUUGAGCAGUCACCCAUAUGCAAUUAUGCUUUUCAAAGUCUCCUGGGCACCUUGGACUAGUUUUGAAAGCAGAGUAAAGGAUUCUGAACAUUAGGAGAUCACCCAGUGGUAAACGAAGGAAGGUAUACAUCGUAUUUUCUAAAUUCUAUUUCUACCUAAUAAUGCCUCUUCACCUAAUUUUAAAUAAAGUGACCGUGUAGCAGAAAUUUAUAAAUUAGGUGACUUUCAGAAUAUUGUUAGCCUACUUUCAGAUAAAGAUUAAACAACAUUUUCUGUUCUUUUUAAAAAAGGUAUCUUUAUUGCAUACACACUUACCAAGGGUGGGUGGGGCAAGCAACUAAAGGAUUUGGGGACCAGGCCCUGAAGAAUUUAUCUCUGGCUCAACUUGAAAUAUUUUCCUAGCUCUGAUUUCAUAGAGUACCCCCAGAAGCAAUAAACUCCUUCCUGAUUCAUAUCACAGAUAAAUAAGAAUGUUGUUGGGUUUCAGGUGAUUAAAAUCAUUUCUAAAUGCAUAAGCUAUUUUCUAUAGCUGGAAUGGAUGUUUCAGAUGAUACAAAAACAUUCUUAAGAAAUACAGAUCUCCUCAUUCAUAAUCAUUAUCGGUAUGGUGAGUUAGCAGAAGGCUGUUAACGUUUCAAUUAGACAAGCCUGUUAAAUUAGCCAGGCAAUAGACACAUCUGGUACAAACUAAAGGUUUCUGGAAAUAUCAUAUUA